rnacentral:lncRNA from 1 species
GUCCAGUUUGUUGCACAGGGAAAGGGAGUCGGCAUCCACAGGAAGGCAGAGGGAGAACCAAGAAAAAAAAAAUCUUCCUAGGUUUCCAUAAACUCCGCAAGGACUUUAGACACUCAAGCUAUAGAACUGGAGAUUUGGGACGAUCCUAUUUCAAAAUCCAAGGAGGUCCCCAAGGACUCUGAUUAUGAAAUGAAGUUCCAGGGCUUGUCCAGGUAAUCCAACUCCCAUUCCAGGGUUCUCUUUAUCUGUCAUGAUCUUCCAAGUUACACCAGAUCACUCAACUCGGAGAACUCCCCAGCUGUCUGGAGGUGACAGCCUGACAUUCACUUGACAGACACCCAGCUCUCCCCACCCCCUCUGCCUCAGCUGGAUUUUUUCUAAAUGCCAGUUUCUUCCUGUCCUGCGGAUGUUUACUGAGUCUAAAGGAAUCUUCAUUUCCUAAAGGUUUGCUCUCGUAAUACGUGAAAUGACAGGUCUUUGCAAAUCCAUCCCUGGUUUAUUGAUUCUGACAGCAUGCUCCAAGGGACAUGGAGUGAGCGCAGACUUCCUGUGUGGAGACCACCCAGGAGCUGCAGGGAGGUUCUCUGGCUGUGCCUUCCUAGAAGGCACCGGGGACUUCACCAUUAAGGGGCAGCAGGCUACUCAUUCAUUUGCUGGCAGCUAAUCCAACAGCUGAGAUCUGAGCUGAAGAUCUAUACCGGAUGGAGGCUGCAAGGUCCCUGCUCAAACGUCCCUGAAGUGAUGGAGAAUGGAGACCAGCGCUAAUCACCCUUUCUAAGCAGAAC